rnacentral:lncRNA from 1 species
GGAAGAAUUGAAUCGUUUGAAUGUUUAUUUAAUCAAACGCUAUGCCUGCGCAACGAAUCAUUUGACCGAUUCAGUUCACGUUAUUUGUUCCUCCAUGUAUUUGAUCUCUAAUGUUGAAAUAGAGACUCCAUUGUCCAUUAUAUUCACAGUGAGCAAAAUAAACCAUGAGUGAAAUCACAGAAAUCAAAUAUCUGAAAUGAUUUAAAAGUUUAAACAUUUUCUUUUCCGCUCAGGAAUCAUCUUGAAAGACUCAUUUGCCGGAGCGACUCUUUCUCUCCGAAUCUACAGGUUCUUGUCCGUUUUAAACUCAUGACUUCACUCACUAUUUAAUUUACAAUCCACCUCAUAUGCUUUGAAACACAGACUGCUUUCCCUCUGUACAGCUGAACAUAAAACUGUUCACACAAACCUGUUGCUGACUUUCAGUUCAAGCGCUUGUUUAACGCCGGACCUUAAAGCAAAUGAUCGAUUUCAUGAAUUAAAGGAUUUUAAAAGACUUCAGAAGAUGGCAGAUUGUUGUUUUCUCUUUUUCCUCAAUCAGGGUUUCUGCGGGGUCUUAAAAUGUCUUAAACCUC